rnacentral:rRNA from 1 species
GACGAACGCUGGCGGCGUGCCUAAUACAUGCAAGUCGGACGCACAGUUUAUACCGUAGCUUGCUACACCAUAGACUGUGAGUUGCGAACGGGUGAGUAACGCGUAGGUAACCUGCCUGGUAGCGGGGGAUAACUAUUGGAAACGAUAGCUAAUACCGCAUAAUAUUAAUUAUUGCAUGAUAAUUAAUUGAAAGGUGCAAUUGCACCACUACCAGAUGGACCUGCGUUGUAUUAGCUAGUAGGUGAGGUAACGGCUCACCUAGGCGACGAUACAUAGCCGACCUGAGAGGGUGAUCGGCCACACUGGGACUGAGACACGGCCCAGACUCCUACGGGAGGCAGCAGGAGGGAAUCUUCGGCAAUGGACGAAAGUCUGACCGAGCAACGCCGCGUGAGUGAAGAAGGGUUUCGGAUCGUAAAGCUCUGUUGUAAGAGAAGAACGGGUGUGAGAGUGGAAAGUUCACACUGUGACGGUAUCUUACCAGAAAGAGACGGCUAACUACGUG